rnacentral:rRNA from 1 species
UACGGAGGGAGCUAGCGUUGUUCGGAAUUACUGGGCGUAAAGCGCGCGUAGGCGGCUUUGUAAGUUAGAGGUGAAAGCCCGGGGCUCAACCCCGGAACAGCCUUUAAGACUGCAUCGCUAGAAUCCGGGAGAGGUGAGUGGAAUUCCGAGUGUAGAGGUGAAAUUCGUAGAUAUUCGCAAGAACACCAGUGGCGAAGGCGGCUCACUGGCCCGAUACUGACGCUGAGGUGCGAAAGCGUGGGGAGCAAACAGG